GAACUACGUACCAGGUCUUGACAUCCCGAUGCUAUUCUAGAGAUAGAAAGUUACUUCGGUACAUCGGUGACAGGUGGUGCAUGGUUGUCGUCAGCUCGUGUCGUGAGAUGUUGGUUAAGUCCCGCAACGAGCGCAACCCCUAUUGUUAGUUGCCAUCAGUUCAGUUGGGCACUCUAGCGAGACUGCCGGUAAUAAACCGGAGGAAGGUGGGAUGACGUCAAAUCAUCAUGCCCCUUAUGACCUGGGCUACACACGUGCUACAAUGGUUGGUACAACGAGUUGCGAGUCGGUGACGGCGAGCUAAUCUCUUAAAGCCAAUCUCAGUUCGGAUUGUAGGCUGCAACUUGCCUACAUGAAGUCGGAAUCGCUAGUAAUCGCGGAUCAGCACGCCGCGGUGAAUACGUUCCCGGGCCUU
rnacentral:rRNA from 1 species